UAAACUUUUCUAACAAAUUAUCAUUUUUUGCAGAAUAUUUGUGGUUUAAUUGGGCAAAACAUAACGGAGCAGGUGAACAUGCUUUGGAAGAAAUUCAUUACUUUAACGAGCAUCCGUUGAGUUGCUUCACGGAUUAUGAGCAUUAUUUCAUGUGCUUGGAGUGUGGUGAAGAAGGUCCAAAGUAUAUAUGGGUUCACAGUCGUAACCCAUAUUCCACUGGAGAAGAUAUUCUACGUGUGCACAACAAGCUUGUUACAAUCGGUGGUGGCUGGAGCUCAGUUCCCCUGUACUUAUCCGGCUGUCAUAAAUUUACCAUGCCAGAAACAAUUGCUUACUAAACUGCUGAUGUCUAAAUAGUUAUUAACUAUGUGUAUUUAUAUUUACAAAAUAACUAAAUUUUAUAUCUAAUAUAUUAUAUAUAUAUAUAUAU